rnacentral:rRNA from 1 species
UACGUAGGUCCCGAGCGUUGUCCGGAUUUAUUGAGCGUAAAGCGAGCGCAGGUGGUUUAUUAAGUCUGGUGUAAAAGGCAGUGGCUCAACCAUUGUAUGCAUUGGAAACUGGUAGGCUUGAGUGCAGGAGAGGAGAGUGGAAUUCCAUGUGUAGCGGUGAAAUGCGUAGAUAUAUGGAGGAACACCGGUGGCGAAAGCGGCUCUCUGGCCUGUAACUGACACUGAGGCUCGAAAGCGUGGGGAGCAAACAGG